UGAGGAAUAUUGGUCAAUGGGCGCGAGCCUGAACCAGCCAAGUAGCGUGAGGGACGACGGCCCUAUGGGUUGUAAACCUCUUUUAUGCGGGAAUAAAAUGUUUGACGUGUCAUACAUUGUAGGUACCGCAAGAAUAAGGACCGGCUAAUUCCGUGCCAGCAGCCGCGGUAACACGGAAGGUCCAGGCGUUAUCCGGAUUUAUUGGGUUUAAAGGGGGCGUAGGCCGCAAGUCAAGCGUGUUGUGAAAUGCAGGGGCUCAACCUCUGGAUUGCAGCGCGAACUGGCAUGCUUGAGUACGCACGAGGUAGGCGGAAUUUGUGGUGUAGCGGUGAAAUGCUUAGAUAUCACGAAGAACUCCAAUUGCGGAGGCAGCUGACCGGAGCGCAACUGACGCUGAAGCUCGAAAGUGCGGGUAUCGAACA
rnacentral:rRNA from 1 species